AUUGAACGCUGGCGGCAGGCCUAACACAUGCAAGUCGAACGGUAACAGGAAGACGCUUGCUUCUUUGCUGACGAGUGGCGGACGGGUGAGUAAUGUCUGGGAAACUGCCUGAUGGAGGGGGAUAACUACUGGAAACGGUAGCUAAUACCGCAUAACGUCGCAAGACCAAAGAGGGGGACCUUCGGGCCUCUUGCCAUCGGAUGUGCCCAGAUGGGAUUAGCUAGUAGGUGGGGUAACGGCUCACCUAGGCGACGAUCCCUAGCUGGUCUGAGAGGAUGACCAGCCACACUGGAACUGAGACACGGUCCAGACUCCUACGGGAGGCAGCAGUGGGGAAUAUUGCACAAUGGCCGCAAGCCUGAUGCAGCCAUGCCGCGUGUAUGAAGAAGGCCUUCGGGUUGUAAAGUACUUUCAGCGGGGAGGAAGGGAGUAAAGUUAAUACCUUUGCUCAUUGACGUUACCCGCAGAAGAAGCACCGGCUAACUCCGUG
rnacentral:rRNA from 1 species